ensembl:lncRNA
CUUUGGUUGCCUCUCCCGGUAUCUGGGAGGGUAGUCGACUCGCCGCUUGUCCUGCUCCGCCAAGCGAGUCCAAAGCAGGAUGAGUCGGUCUACCCUAUUCUCAGACAGCCCCAGAAGGUUCCUCCCUUCCACCAGCACCUGGGCCAGCUUCAGGAUGUGCCGGUACCCGGGCUGGCCAUCAGGACCCUGGAUGUCCUCCUGAGAAGAAACGAGGAGGAACAAAGCCCGUAAGCAAAUAGUGCAGUAAGAGAUUCUAUCUCACAAUCGUCAGUAUGUGAACUUACUUCAGAGUCUAAGGAGGGCUGCUGGGGAUCAGGGUCCUGAACCUCUGGGGCCUCAGGAGGGGCAACUUGACCCGAACGGGAUGGCUCAAACGGUGCGUCAGCUGGAUCACCUGACCGGGCUGCUGCCACGCUGGAGGACUGAGUAUCAGGCCCGAAGACGGUAGGGUCCUCUACGUCUUCCUCGAUGCCCUCAUCCUCCUCCAGCGCCUCGAUGGCAGGAGCCUCGUCCGGAGUGUCAGGGUCCAGGCUGACGUCCUCAAGCACUUUGCCGGUCUGCUGGUACAGGUACUCCACUCCGAUGAGCUCCCCUGUCACACAGAGAAGGAUUCAGUAGCGGCUCGUUUUGCUGUCAGUUACGAGAUGAGGUGUUUUCACAUCGCAUACCUGUGUACUCAGCCGGCUCGGUGAAGUCCUUAACCAUCUGAAGACCAAGCACUCUUUGGCUCUUCUGGUUAAGGACGUGCUUGAGGUGGCCACUGUAGGAGUGCAGAGGUCCCAGCCGUCCCUCGACUGCAGCCGGUGGUGGUGCAGCUGCCGCUGCGCGGUCCUCGUUCCACCUCACCAGUCCAUCCACCAGGAACGCCUGGAAGUGCUUGGCGCUGGCCCGGGUCCCUGGGGAAGGGGGGGGGGGGGUUUGGAUCAGACACGAGUUUGCAUUUUCUUAAAGUUCAAAUAGAGAUUACAUUUUGUCACGAGCCGCGAGACACACGCCGGUACCUGGGAUGAACCGGUUAAGGUGGAGGUGGAAGGACUCCAGAGAGGUGGAGCCCCUCGCGCAGCGAUAUACGGGCAGGCUGACUCCUCCCUUGGUCAGCCGGCCCGUCUGGGUGUACAGCUGCACACCUGGCGGGUCCUGGAUGCAGCUGAGGUGGGUCCUCUGCGUACUCCAUAUUUCCUGGAUGCGGAGAGCGUUGAGCAACGGGAUGCCCAGGUUGUUGCGUCCUGCCGGUCCACCGAAGGUGUCGAGGAGCUCCUGGAUGAGGAGGGCCGAUUCCUCAGGCCCCCGUGUCCUGCGGCGGACGUGGAGCCUCCACUCCUCCUUGGAGAUCCUCUGGUUCACCGCGGCGUCCGUCAGUCCAACCAUCCCGUGCUUCCCCUCCAGCUGGGACCGCUUAGCCUCUGCGAGACGGCGUGCAUCUCCGGCGUCCACCUCAAAGAUGCAGUUAGACAGCUGCCUCAUGAAGGUGGGGUACAGCUCGUGGCUCUCGGUGUUGACACCUGAUGCGAAGCGUCGCAUCAGGUGCCAGAUGUCCAGUCUCACCACGAGAUGCUCCCACUCCUGCGAAACAAACAAAACGUUAAACUCUCCAGCCACGGUGCUGAUGCAGCACAACUGUCAACAGUGUCCUUUUCACACCUGAAACAAGACAGCUGUCAGCAGUCGCGGUCCACGUAGAUCAGCUGGGGGGGAGGUACCCCGGCGAGUCGGUACCGCCUCAUCAAGCCGGCCGCCAUCCCGGACAGGCCCCCGGCGCUCUCUCGGUGGAGGUGAGGACGCUCAUGAGGACCUGCCCGUGCUCAUUGCCGACGUUGGUAGCCCAGGCGGCCGUGUCGGAGGCGAUACCCGCGAGCUUCUUUGUCACCUGCAGAGAGAUUCUGAGAGUUAAUGUGAGAAACACACAGCAGCUGGAAGGAAAAGAAACUGACAGACUCCACUCGCCUUCUUGGUGGAGUCCAUCUUUUUGAUGGACCCGAAGGUGGACGUGAUCCUGGCCUUGUACUCAUCCAGCCGCGCCAGGACGUCGUAGCUGUACACGGUCAGCAGCCAGACGGGGGAUGGCAGAGGGGGCAUCUCGGGCGGAGGUGGAAUCUGCCCCCUCGCCGAGCACAAGGCCAGGAAUGGCUCGCACACGCCGAGGUACUUGAUGGCUCUCCGCAUCCAGGCGUCCGAGUGCUGCUCCCGCAGGGUGUUUUGCAGCUGGUUGGCACUGUUCCCCAGAGUGCGGGACCUCAGCUGUAUCACCACCCUCAUGUCACAGGACAGCCUGCACGACACAAACAUCACGUAGAGCCGAGUCUGCACCUCCAACGGGACGUUCAACACAGACAAAUGGUGAAGAAAUGCCUCCUUACUUGUACGUGAGUACAGCUGGGAACUGGCAGCUGUGGGUGGGGGACAGCUGCCUGAUGAUGCCCUGUGACCACCCCCCGACCUUCUUCUUACACCGACGGCACUCCAGGUACUCGGUGGCCAUGAGGUACCAGCCGUCGAUGUCCAGGACCCUCCGGAUGGUCCUGUACAGCCCAGCCUUCAUCAGGGACCCAGAGCACGAAGGCUGGGGGCAUGUCAGCUGCAGACGCCAAAGCCGGUGUGGCAUCCAGAGAAACAGCCGACAUGCGAAGAAGGGGUCGGGGGAUGCGGGAGGCUGGUUGUAGACCGGCCGGGUUUGGGGGGGGGUCCACCAUAGGUUGAGCUCGCCCACGAGCCGAGGCCUCCCCUGGCUGUCCCUGGUAAACAGCACCCGGCCGAUCCACUGCUGCUGCUCCACAGUGAGAGCUGCCCUCCAGGACUGAGGCAGCAACUGGUGAGACGACAACACACACAUAAAACCAUUUUAAUAUCUACAGACAGUCAGCAGGGACACCUGCGGCCUCACGUGUUAGAGAGACUGCCUCACCUCACUGGCAGAAGAUGGAGGGGAGGGAGGAACUCCUCCGAUCCCUCCACGGCGACGGGUGCGGACGGCGUCAAGGGGGCGGCUGGAGGCGAGGGAGCCGGUGUUCCGGCAGGCUGAACCACGACGAGGGCUGCAGGAGUUUCCACCAGGGGGUCUAUCUCCUGCGAGGCUUCCAGCAGCUCCUCGUCUGUGGGCUCGUCCAGCAGAGUAGAGACACCGGCUCCCGGAGGAGGAGGUGCUGAGGAGGAGGAGGAGGAGGAGGAGGAGGAGGAGGAGG